UACGUAGGGGGCUAGCGUUGUCCGGAUUUAUUGGGCGUAAAGAGCGUGUAGGCGGUCCGGUAAGUCCGCUGUGAAAGUCCAGGGCUCAACCCUGGAAUGCCGGUGGAUACUGCCGGGCUAGAGUCCGGAAGAGGCGAGUGGAAUUCCUGGUGUAGCGGUGAAAUGCGCAGAUAUCAGGAAGAACACCCGUGGCUAAGGCGGCUCUCUAGUACGGUACUGACGCUGAGACGCGAAAGCGUGGGGAGCGAACAGG
rnacentral:rRNA from 1 species